UGUAGCAAGAAAUUCAAGUUAACGUUUUCUCUCUUUGCUUUGUUCUUGACCAAUAGCGUCUCUGAUCUUGGAGUGUCUGUUGAAGAGAGUUCCACUUGGGCUGCGACCGCCUAACUGCUUCUUCAGGGCUAGCAAGUUGGCUUGCCUUUGAAGUAUGUAGGAUGUGGCAUUAUUCUGGAUAAAGUGAUUUAUGAAAGACUUCCUGGAAUUCUGCUUGCGAAGGAGACAUUAACUCAUCUAGAAUAUUUUGCCAGAGAUGAUUUAACAAAUUGUUGUUGAGCAUCUACUAAAUGCCAUCCAGUGUUCAGAGCCUUUGGAACAGUAGUGCAUGAAACACAGGAAGCUCAAGCCUUGAACAAAUUUACCAAUAAGUCUGAGAACUCUCUGUGUUGCUUAUAGAGAUUCAAUGAGAAGGAAUAUAAACAAUGGUUGCAGAAGUAUAAAAAAGCUAGUACGGGUUUAUACAACAGAAUUCAAAGAAUGGACAAAUGUUAUGAUAGUAUGAAAAAGAUUCCAAUCCCGCAGGCUUAGAUGUGCCGUGUUGGUGCUCAUCGUCUUGUACCUCAACCCCAUCCCCGUCAGUCUGCUGGUCACUCUGGCAAUUGUGAAAUAUAUUCAGGGCCAGUUGAAAAACUGGUCAGAAGGAGGCGUACCAGACACUAUGGGAGACUCCAUGGGAGGAGGUUACAGAGGAGAACUGGAAGCCGAGACCUCCCGAGCAGUCUGGGAACCAGCGGCAAGGCUAUGGAAGAUCUAUCGUCUUUAAAGCUCCAAAGGCUGUGAAAGAGCAAAGAGGAGGAAGCUGUGAGCUGUAACACACUGUCACGAGGCAAAGCUACGAGGAAGGGCACAGAGCCCAUCUCCCCAAACUUGAUCAGGAAAAGCUUUAAGAGCUUCUUCUAGGGGACAUGGACAUCCCACCUCCUGAAUGUCUUCUUCCCAGAUGAUAUUUUAGGCCGUUCUUCAGGCUUCGUUCCUGAUCAUUCCUCGCAUCCUUCUUAAGUGGAGGCAUUUCUGAGCCUGCCUCUCGGAACCUUCCAGAUGGGCUGAAUACCAAAUACUCUAGGACUUUUCUGCUGUGACUUGAAUGAAAGAAAUCCAGGAGAUGGGACGAUGGCACAUGGACACAGAUGUCUCAGGAGUUUCUCUCCGAGGACUAAACAGUGACAGAGACCUAUGGAUGCAGCAGGUGUUGGAUGAGCCCCACCCGUGUGGGAUGAGCCUCAGUUGAUGGUGGAGUCCGGCUUUAUUCUGAAGCUCUGUGCUGGGAGAAUUGGAAGGUAGACCUUGGAGGACUGGCUGAGCCAUGUGAGGCAGGGACCUGGAGGACAAAAGUCUUCCGGAAAUUUCUGGAUUGUGGAGCAUAAACCCCAACCGUUUCCGGAUCUUUCUGGGGCACGUUUGCUUGCAGGUCGGGAAUGUCAGAUGUCACAAGACACCAGGCCUCAUUCUGGGGUUUGUGCAAACUCACCUCAUAGGCCGAAUCGGUCAUAGAGGCCCGGGUGGUGAGAUCGGGAGUGUGGAUUGAAAUGGGGCCUGAGCCGGACCUGGGUGAGGGUUAGGGACUGAGAUGGGGGCAGGGUUUGGGGCAGGCACAACAGUUGGAGACGGUUAAGUGCAGGGGAUCCUUCAGCUAUGAAUGAACUUGAGAUUGACUGAGGAACACAAAUUUGGAGGAAUAGCCGCCUUGGAGAAGUACAACAGAGCGCAGGGACUCGCCAUGCAGAGACAGCAGGUGCUAGAAGAGCUGGAGAUAUCUUUGCUGCAGGUCGUCCUCCAAGGUCUCAUAAUUCAGGGGCUCUUGGUGCAUGUGCUGCUCCUCUGCUUUGCCUUCGUGUCUCUGGUGAUGAAGGGAAACUGCCACAUCCUGCUGAAUGGCAGCUGUGGCCACAUAGUCCUUUAAGAAUUGAGACGGUUGCCUGGUCUGAACUGCUUGGAAUAGACCCCACUUUGUGUUCCUUUCGCUUA